UACGAAGGGGGCUAGCGUUGCUCGGAAUCACUGGGCGUAAAGGGUGCGUAGGCGGGGCUUUAAGUCAGGGGUGAAAUCCUGGAGCUCAACUCCAGAACUGCCUUUGAUACUGAAGAUCUUGAGUUCGGGAGAGGUGAGUGGAACUGCGAGUGUAGAGGUGAAAUUCGUAGAUAUUAGGAAGAACACCAGUGGCGAAGGCGGCCACCUGGCUCGGUACUGACGCUCAGGUUCGAAAGCGUGGGGAGCAAACAGG
rnacentral:rRNA from 1 species